rnacentral:rRNA from 1 species
GCACCACAAGGGGUGGAACCUGCGGUUCAAUUGGAUUCAACGCCGGACAACUCACCAGGGGCGACAGUUGGUUGAAGGCCAGGUUGACGACUUUGCUGGACUAGCUGAGAGGUGGUGCAUGGCCAUCGUCAGCUCGUACCGUGCGGCGUCCUGUUAAGUCAGGCAACGAGCGAGAUCCUCGCCCCUAGUUGCCAUCGGUGGGAAGCCGGGCACUCUAGGGGGACCGCUGGCGCUAAGUCAGAGGAAGGAGAGGGCGACGGUAGGUCAGUAUGCCCCGAAUCCCCUGGGCUACACGCGGGUUACAAUGCGCAGGACAAUGAGAUGCAACCCCGUAAGGGGGAGCCAAGCCCCUAAACCUGCGCUCGGUUCGGAUCGAGGGCUGUAACUCGCCCUCGUGAAGCUGGAAUCCCUAGUAAUCGCGUGCCAACACCGCGCGGUGAAUGCGUCCCUGCUCCUUGCACACACCGCCCGUCAAGCCACUCGAGUGGGGUCCGGAUGAGGUCAGUUCAAGUUGGACUGCUCGAAUCCGAGUUCUGCAAGAGGGGCUAAGUCGUAACAAGGUAACC